rnacentral:rRNA from 1 species
GACGAACGCUGGCGGCGCGCCUAACACAUGCAAGUCGAGCGAGAACCAGGGCUUCGGCCCUGGGGACAGCGGCGAACGGGUGAGUAACACGUGGGUAAUCUGCCCUCGGCACCGGAAUAGCCCGGGGAAACCCGGAUUAAUGCCGGAUGGCCCCUCUGCCCUGCGGGGCGAAGGGAAAAGGUAGCUUCGGCCUCCGGCCGAGGAUGAGCCCGCGGUGGAUUAGCUUGUUGGCGGGGUAAUGGCCCACCAAGGCGA